rnacentral:rRNA from 1 species
GAUGAACGCUGGCGGCGUGCUUAACACAUGCAAGUCGAACGGAAAGGCUUCUGCUUGCAGGGGUACUCGAGUGGCGAACGGGUGAGUAACACGUGGGUGAUCUGCCCUGCACUUCGGGAUAAGCCUGGGAAACUGGGUCUAAUACCGGAUAGGACAAUGGUUUGGAUGCUGUUGUGGAAAGUUUUUCGGUGUGGGAUGAGCUCGCGGCCUAUCAGCUUGUUGGUGGGGUAAUGGCCUACCAAGGCGUCGACGGGUAGCCGGCCUGAGAGGGUGUACGGCCACAUUGGGACUGAGAUACGGCCCAGACUCCUACGGGAGGCAGCAGUGGGGAAUAUUGCACAAUGGGCGCAAGCCUGAUGCAGCGACGCCGCGUGGGGGAUGACGGCCUUCGGGUUGUAAACUCCUUUCGCUAGGGACGAAGCGUUUUUGUGACGGUACCUGGAGAAGAAGCACCGGCUAACUACGUG